rnacentral:rRNA from 1 species
GAUGAACGCUAGCGGCAGGCUUAACACAUGCAAGUCGAGGGGCAGCAUACCCAGCAAUGGGUGAUGGCGACCGGCGGAAGGGUGCGUAACGCGUGAGCAACAUGCCCAUAUCAGUGGGAUAAUCCAGGGAAACUUGGUCUAAUACCACAUAGUAUCUUUUAGAGACAUCUUUAAAAGAUUAAAGAUUUAUCGGAUAUGGAUUGGCUCGCGUGACAUUAGCUGGAUGGUAGGGUAACGGCCUACCAUGGCAAUGAUGUCUAGGGGUUCUGAGAGGAAGGUCCCCCACACUGGAACUGAGACACGGUCCAGACUCCUACGGGAGGCAGCAGUGAGGAAUAUUGGACAAUGGAUGGAAAUCUGAUCCAGCCAUGCCGCGUGCAGGAAGAAGGUCCUAUGGAUUGUAAACUGCUUUUGUACGGGAGCAAUAAGGGCUAUGCGUAGUUCGAUGAGAGUACCGUACGAAUAAGGAUCGGCUAACUCCGUG